AGGACGAACGCUGGCGGCGUGCUUAACACAUGCAAGUGGAGCGACGAACCAGGGCUUGCCCUGGGGCAGAGCCGCGAACGGGUGAGUAACACGUGGGUUACCUGCCUUGAUGACCGGGACAACCCGAGGAAACUCGGGCUAAUACCGGAUGUGCCCGCAAGGGGAAAGGAAGCUUCGGCCUCCGCAUCAAGAUGGGCCCGCGGCCCAUUAGCUAGUUGGUGAGGUAACGGCUCACCAAGGCUUCGAUGGGUAGCUGGUCUGAGAGGACGAUCAGCCACACUGGGACUGAGACACGGCCCAGACUCCUACGGGAGGCAGCAGUGGGGAAUCUUGCGCAAUGCGCGAAAGCGUGACGCAGCAACGCCGCGUGGGGAAGAAGGCUUUCGGGUUGUAAACCCCUUUCAGUUGGGACGAAGCGAAAGUGACGGUACCUGCAGAAGAAGCACCGGCUAACUACGUGCCAGCAGCCGC
rnacentral:rRNA from 1 species